UGGGGAAUAUUGCACAAUAGGGGAAACCCUGAUGCAGCGACGCCGCGUGAACGAAGAAGGUAUUCGUAUCGUAAAGUUCUGUCCUAUGGGAAGAUAAUGACAGUACCAUAGAAGAAAGCUCCGGCUAAAUACGUGCCAGCAGCCGCGGUAAUACGUAUGGAGCGAGCGUUGUCCGGAAUUAUUGGGCGUAAAGGGUACGCAGGCGGUUUAAUAAGUCGAAUGUUAAAGAUCGGGGCUCAACCCCGUAAAGCAUUGGAAACUGAUAAACUUGAGUAGUGGAGAGGAAAGUGGAAUUCCUAGUGUAGUGGUGAAAUACGUAGAUAUUAGGAGGAAUACCAGUAGCGAAGGCGACUUUCUGGACACAAACUGACGCUGAGGUACGAAAGCGUGGGGAGCAAACAGG
rnacentral:rRNA from 1 species